AGGCAACCUCAAAGAUUUUAAUUGUACCUGACAAAUAACUUGUGCAAGUUAUAGCGAAGGAUGUGGCUGUAACCCGGGAUGGAUUUGCAUGUGAACUUCAGCAGGAAAACAUGAAGAACUUUUGAUAGAUUCUGCGAUAUCACAAUCCCAUCAUGUUGCAGUAGGGAGGGUUUUAGAGCCCUGGGUUCCUGGUGAAGAUGAUCCAUGGUGUACUGAACUAGAAAAUGUUUUUGACAGCCCAUGGAAUAGGAAUUGGGAUCAGUUUGAAGCCAAAAAAAGUUAUUUGGUGUAAAAACUACUUUCAAUGAGGAACUUUACACAACAAUGCUCGAAAGA